rnacentral:rRNA from 1 species
UAAGGAAUAUUGCUCAAUGGGAGAAAUCCUGAAGCAGCAACGCCGCGUGGAGGAUGAAGGGUUUUAACUUGUAAACUCCUGUAAAGAAGGAAAAAAUUCCCAUUAGAUGGGAAAUGAUGGUACUUCUGGAGUAAGCCCCGGCUAACUACGUGCCAGCAGCCGCGGUAAUACGUAGGGGGCAAGCGUUGUCCGGAUUUACUGGGUGUAAAGGGUGCUCAGGCGGAUUUGUAAGUCAGAGGUGAAAUCUCACAGCUUAACUGUGAAACUGCCUUUGAUACUGCAAGCCUAGAGUAUGGAAGAGAGUGAUGGAAUAUCUGGUGUAGCAGUGAAAUGCGUAGAUAUCAGAUAGAACACCAAUGGCGAAGGCAGUCACUUGGUCCAUAACUGACGCUAAAGCACGAAAAGCGUGGGUAGCAAAACAGGAUUAGAUACCCUGGUAGUCCACGCCCUAAACGAUGAAUACUAGAUGUUGGCUUCGCAUGAAGUCAGUAUCUGAGCUAACGCAUUAAGUAUUCCACCUGGGAAGUACGAUCGCAAGGUUGAAACUCAAAGGAAUUGACGGGGUCAUAGCUGUUUCCUG